GAUGAGCAUGCGUCCCAUUAGCUAGUUGGUAAGGUAACGGCUUACCAAGGCUACGAUGGGUAGGGGUCCUGAGAGGGAGAUCCCCCACACUGGUACUGAGACACGGACCAGACUCCUACGGGAGGCAGCAGUGAGGAAUAUUGGACAAUGGGCGCAAGCCUGAUCCAGCCAUGCCGCGUGCAGGAUGACGGUCCUAUGGAUUGUAAACUGCUUUUAUACGAGAAGAAACACUCCUUCGUGAAGGAGCUUGACGGUAUCGUAAGAAUAAGGAUCGGCUAACUCCGUGCCAGCAGCCGCGGUAAUACGGGGGAUCCAAGCGUUAUCCGGAAUCAUUGGGUUUAAAGGGUCCGUAGGCGGUUUAAUAAGUCAGUGGUGAAAGCCCAUCGCUCAACGGUGGAACGGCCAUUGAUACUGUUAAACUUGAAUUAUUAGGAAGUAACUAGAAUAUGUAGUGUAGCGGUGAAAUGCUUAGAGAUUACAUGGAAUACCAAUUGCGAAGGCAGGUUACUACUAAUGGAUUGACGCUGAUGGA
rnacentral:rRNA from 1 species